CAGCAGCCGCGGUAAUACGAAGGGGGCUAGCGUUGUUCGGAAUUACUUGGCGUAAAGCGCACGUAGGCGGAUUUGUUAGUCAGGGGUGAAAUCCCGGGGCUCAACCUCGGAACUGCCUUUGAUACUGCAAGUCUCGAGUCCGGAAGAGGUGAGUGGAAUUCCUAGUGUAGAGGUGAAAUUCGUAGAUAUUAGGAAGAACACCAGUGGCGAAGGCGGCUCACUGGUCCGGUACUGACGCUGAGGUGCGAAAGCGUGGGGAGCAAACAGGAUUAGAUACCCCAGUAGUCCCUGUCUCUUAUAC
rnacentral:rRNA from 1 species